rnacentral:rRNA from 1 species
UACGGGGGGGGCAAGCGUUGUUCGGAAUUACUGGGCGUAAAGGGCUCGUAGGUGGCCAACUAAGUCAGACGUGAAAUCCCUCGGCUUAACCGAGGAACUGCCUGUCAGACUGGAUUGCUUGAGGCCGGGAGAGGCGAGUGGAAUUCCCAGUGUAGCGGUGAAAUGCGUAGAUAUUGGGAGGAACACCAGUGGCGAAGGCGGCUCGCUGGACCGGUUCUGACGCUGAGGCGCGAAAGCGUGGGGAGCGAUCCGG